rnacentral:rRNA from 1 species
GACGAACCGAGCGAACGUUGUUCGGAAUCACUGGGCUUAAAGGGCGCGUAGGCGGCUUACCAAGUCAGGGGUGAAAUUUUGCGGCUUAACCGUAACAGUGCCUUUGAUACUGGUAGGCUCGAGCGAGAUAGGGGUCCGCGGAACUUCUGGUGGAGCGGUGAAAUGCGUUGAUAUCAGAAGGAACGCCGGUGGCGAAAGCGGCGGACUGGAUCUCUUCUGACGCUGAGGCGCGAAAGCUAGGGGAGCAAACGGG